GUUCAGUUCCCGGUACCGGAAAAAAACAAAACAAAAAAAAAAAAAAAAGAAAAAAGAAAUUAUUAAGACCUAGAAAUGAUUAGGAAAUUCUCAAGGUAACUAAUCUGACAGUCUUCAUUCAAUGCUUUCUAAAUUAUCAGUGAAGAGAAGCAGCUGUUCGCGGAAAUGCUCAAACCUCAGAGGUUUAUUAAUGGGUCUAUUAUGCCUUCAUGAAGGAGCUGUCAUUUUGAUAAUCAAAUAAAUACAAGUUUCAGCCCUUUCUGGGGAAAAUUCCCAUCUUUUCAUUUCCAGUCUUUUCCCAGGCAAAAGAUGAUUUUUACAUCACUAUGCAUCACUGAGAUACAAUAGUUAUAUUUAUGUGUCACCUAACAUUUAUUGGCUACAUAUCUGAAUUCUUGCUUUUGGAACAUUUAAUUCCUUAAAUUUGCAGCUGAAAUAGCUUCCUACUUUGCCCACAGGUCUCUGAUUUUUCUUUCUUGGGCAACAACUCAGCUUACUUAAGAGACUGACUUUUCCCCCAUCUUUGAGCAAAACUCCCUAACAGUGUAAUCUCUGCUGAUGUAGACGCCCAAGGUCAGCCUCCCAAAUGCCCGGACUUUCGAGCUCUUGUUUUCGUAAGGCGCACUGAAGGGGAUGUUGGAAUGCGGUGCUGUGUUCAGACACAGUGCUAAAACUUUCCACAAAGCCUUAAGGGUCUGGAAUCCUCGCAUUUCAACUCAGCUGGGGAAACGACACUCCGGACGUGGGCGGUGUGUCCUUAUCCUCUCUCACGGACAUGAUGUCUCUUGAAAAGCAACCCUGGAUAAGACACAGAUGGCCCGGAGUCCACUGUGCUGCCCUGGACUUCAGCUCCCUGCUGUGGCCCUUUCACUUACACUGAAGGGCAUGGCUUCUUAAUUAUCCAGGAGCCAAUGAGCGACCCUGAUAUGUCUACCUGGACGACAAGGGCUGCAGAGCCAAGGAGAAUGAGACCCUCAUAUUCUUGAGGUUCAGGACAUCCCAGUGAAGGAGUUCUGCAGAGCUGCCUCCCUUGGAAAAUAAGCUAUCAAAGACAAUGCAGGUCUUCCUCCAAGGUUCAAGAUUGUCUUUCCAAUCACAGUGACAAGUGAGAUGCCCAUAUGAGUGUCACACCUUUGGAAAGACACCCACCUAUUGCCCUGGUCCACCAAAGAAAGAAGGUAAGUAAAAGGAUAUGGACUUAGGAAUCCAACUUUCAAACACUGCUCACUGGAGACCAUGUGGGCUGGUUACAGCGUAACACACAUAUCUGUCCAGUGCUUCCUACUCUGUAAGCAGCCGGAAGCUAUGGACAAGAACAAACACAGGAAAGCUCCAGCCAGCCAUCACAGAGCUGUACUGCAACGCAACAAUAUGUCUUCAUAAACAACCGCCUAGCUGAACUAACUUGCCACAGUUCACUCAGACUCAAGAAGGCUAUCCCAAGAUGCCCCUGCAGGCUGAGCAGACCUCCUGCAAGUCAUCUGGGCUGUGAGCAGGACUCUGAACUUCUGUGCUGAAGCCUGAAGUACGCUGGCCCUUGUCCCUUAAUCCCCAACACAAGCAACCGUGUGGCUCAGGUAUUACUGGGGUUUCUUUUCACCUAAGGGGGCGUAGGGUCCAAUAACGACGCACUUGCCCACGGUGACAGUCAGGAAGAACAGCUAGGCUUUGUGUAGAGCAUGCUUAUCUCCAGCACCGCCAUUUCAGUCCUUAAACUGUAUGGGACAAGGGGAUUGGGCAAGAGAGCAGGUCACUCCUCUCUGCCUACCCGAGCAAUGACAAAAGCACAGACCUCAAAGAAAUGUCUCUUAAGAGGGUGCCAGUGUGCUUGGAUCCCUCAAGCUGCCAGGAAGUGAGCAGCUGUGCUGUUAAUAGUUCUAACUUCAGGCAGGUGCUUGUGCACUGAGCUACAUCCCCCGCCCCGACAGUUCUGACUUCAACACCUUACUCAUCACGCCUUCUGUGCCUCAGGAAGAGAAACGUCACAAAAAGCAACACAGUCACGUACACAGAGGGGCACGUGCUGGUUGGCUGAAGCCACGCCCUGCUUUCCUCCUGACCGUGCUGAGUAAGAGAAAGAAAGGUACCACAUCCAAAUGCCACGUCUCUGGUCUACCCCCCCUCUUCCUGCUCGGACCUCUCAUCUCCAGGACUGCGUCUGCUCCCCGUUUGCUGUGAUGCUGGGUCUCCAGUGUCCUGGGACAGAGCGGGCUCCAGUGAGGACACUGCGGAGUCCACAGUCACUCCCCUGCAGUGCUGGGGUCCUGGUGGGAAUGGUCACAGCCCUUUGUCCAGAAGCAUGUCUCCUAUUGGCCAUGUGAAUCCAUUUAGGGAUACUUUUGUAGGGUUUCUCACAAAACAAGAAUGGCUCUAAACAGGGCCACCAAAACCAAAAUAUUGAAGAGGAAGGCAGAGAAAGCUUCAGCAGGAAACAAGGGCUGUGACUUCAGGGCGUAAAGCCAGGGUUGACAGGCCUGCCUGAUGGCUGUUUGUGUCUGGGACCACCCUGGCACUUAUUACCAUGAGAAGGAGCUGAGAGAGCUGAGACUGUCAGGAAACACGGUAGGAGCAAGCGGAUGUAAGGAGUGCAGUGGUCCCGGCCGGACAGGGCACCGGGCCAUCCUUCCGUCCCCACUGCCCGCAGCAUCCCGCCUUUGCAGCGCUACAAAGACUAAGAAAGGGACUGAGAGUCACAUGUCAACUCCCGGAGCACACUCAAGGCCGCAGUCAACACUGCAGCCAAGUAGGUGGCCCUGCCUAACAAGGGAGACACGGCCCCCAGAGCAGGGAGACAGCGCAGGGCACUCCUGCGCUCCACCCCCACUACCUCCUGGGGGUCAGACAGCACAGGGCCCUGCAGGGGUCCUUCCCCUCCUCCUCUCUCACAGUGUGACAGGGUCACAGCAGAGGGAGAAGGAUGUCAAUAGCAAGCAUACACGAAAUUAGCUAUACAGGCUGCCAAAGCCCUCUUUUUGUUUUGCAAGAACAUGACUAUGCCAGUUUUCCUCACCAUGAAGAGAGAAAUGAAAGGCAAAAGCACUGUACCUGGUGAAUUUUAUCCGGGCUGUGCUACGUUACCAGACCCCGAGCCCCCUAUUUCCAAGCACACCUACUGCUUUUAUAGGAUCCUUUUUCCCUUCAAAAUUAUAAUUAUUUGUAAACCGACUUCAGCUGAAUUGUGAUGUUGGCGUUUCUCAGGAAAGAGCUGCAGGUGAAGGUGGCAUGAGGACCCACUCUGUGCCUGUCCCGGGAGCAUUUACGAGGGCAGUCUGGAGGGCAGGGAGGACACCGCAUGAGACCUGUGUCCCAGGACCCUCACGGUCAGCUGUGAGGUCCGCAGUGAGUGAAGCAGUGCCGGAGGAAGCUGCCAAAGGAAAGCCACCGCUGGCAAGAGCAGCGGCCAAAGGUUUUGCACUUAAACGUGGAGGCGAUCAGAGGUCUGGGCCGGGGGUGCUCACGGCAACCCGCAGACAUCAGUCUGCAAGCCAAUCAGAGUGCAGUGACAGUCCCACUACCCAAAGCAGUCAGGGACAGAUCUGGGAGCUCAGUCCCCAUCAGGAAUGUUUUCACAGAAGAGCAAUCAAUGCAGUUUGUUCCUGUACUCUCACGUGUCUGUGAGAUCAGUGUUGGCCUUGUAAACUUUGUCCUCUUUGCGGAGUUAAUCAGUCAUUUCGAGGACACUGGGACAAAGCGCAUUUCACUGCUGGGUCUAGUCCUGCUGGCUGUCGGUCUGGCUUCUCUUCCGUUAGCUCCAGGUGACAGCACCCUCUCUACAGGUCAGCUGUCACUCAUACAGACGGUUGGCCCGCCCUUUGCAUCCCCUGGUGGAUCCACAUCCAAGGAUCCAGCCAAUCUGGGACCCAGUUAUUUAGAGAGCAGCAACUAAAUACUGUGUAAGGUACUCUAAGUAACCCGCAGAUGACUUUAGCUCCCAGGAGGGCCACGUGGGCUCUGCACAUAUACUACUUUCUGUAUGGGACUUGAGCAUCCCUAUAUGUGGAGGUGCAAUGUGUCAGGGGUCCUGGGACCAACCCCCCAUGGGUACCAAAGGUUGAACAUUUACAACUGUUUUGGGAAGCAGCUCAUCUAAUCACUUGAGCUUGGGCUGGAUACUACUGUCACCCCAGGACUGAGAUGUGCAUGAAUGUCCAACUCUACAUACAGAGAAAUACAUCUGAACAGAAGGUGAAAGGGACAGUUUAACCAUCGUUGAAGUAGGUGCUCAUCCUCCAACUUGCGACUGCUUCCCUGGCAGUUCAGAUGGCAGAGUGACUCUCAGCCGGCAUUAUCCAAGAGCCUUCUGUCUUGUCUUGUCCUCCUCCCCACACCUGCUGGUAAAGAAAAGCCUCAAAAGCACCAUCAUGAAAGUGACAUGAAGAGAGAAACAAAAAGCAGCCAAUGAGCCACUGGGCUCACAACAUGGAAGACUUGUCAUUAGAAAUGACAAUUAUGUUUGGUGGUUUUCUGCAAAUUUAACGACCCUAUACUGCUCUGAGCUAACUGUCACGUCAGGAAAUGUAUGAUGAGCACCUGGACUUCACUCACGGCCGUCUGUGACUAUGGGGGGCAGGAACUCAAUCCCGCACAGAAAUGAGAUCCUCAGGGGAAGCUACAAGGUAGUUUCUUUCUUUAAAGAUCAGCAUGUGCUCAAUUAACACCUGAGGAUCACUGGAAAGAUUAUGUUUAGUCAAAAGUCAAAAUUCUAACUAUAAUUCUGAAGGACUUUUGAUAUAGUCCAUUAGUAAUUUAAAAUUCUAAUUCUUCUAUAUUGGACACUAGUGUGAAUUUCUGUGUUUUAAUAAAAAUUUCCGUGGUGGUCCAUCAAAUAAAGUUUAGACAUAGUAGAGAAACUGGUUACUUCAUUAGCCCGCAGGUCCCACCGAGGAAUUUCUGAGGCCAGUGGCAGUGGCUGGGCUUGCCGUGCGUGGCUUCCUUCUACACAGACUUCCUGACCACUCUCAAAGUUCUGGACUCUGGUAUGACCGCCACUGUUUGCGACCUUUUUAAAGAGGACUUGAGAUCAAUUUGCCUGCUAGAACCCAGAGCUGUGUCAUGUUCUUUGCCCUCCUGCUGUCAGAGCUAUGUCUGCAUUCUGAGUGUGUGUGUGUGUGUGUGUGUGUGGCGGGGGGCUGGAAGCUGGUAAAUACACAGCUUUUUCCACCUGGUAAGGCAAGAAAGAUAUGCAAAGAGAAAAUAAGACCUUGAGAGGUAGAACUCAGAAAUUUCUUCCCCAGAAGUUCAUGUACAGAAAAGCCAAGUCAACACCACACAUCUGGAAUACCUGACCACCUGAGUAUUGUCUCUUCUGAUGUAUUAGGAAAUGAAACUGACAGAGAUAACUCACAUGAAAACUUGAUGUCUGCAAAAUCUCUCUUUCUGAGAGGAGGGAGAGCUAUUUUAUAACCAUAAAGACUUCUUUGUUCUAAAAUACAGCAAUCUGGUAUCAGGUAUAUUCGGCAAAUGCGACAGAAUAUCCCCAGCUAACACUUGUAAGAACAUGAAAAGAUAAAACUCUGCUGUGAGAAACGCACAGAACUGCAGGACGAGGACGGGUCCCCACACACCAGGGGACAUUUGGCAACGACUGGAACAUUUCUGGUUGUCACAGCUGAGAGGCUCGGUUGCUGGAAUCUGGUGUGUACAAACCAAGGACACUGAUAAAUAUCCCACAAGGCCCUCUUCAGCCACCCGCAACAAGGAACUCUAUGGACCAAAUGUCAAAAUGUCAGCAAUGCUAAGACUGGGAAAUCCUGCUGCAUGCGUGAAGUCCAUAGAACGCUCUGUGGACUUCUGUCUCUAUCUCCAAUUAGAAGUGCGGCUUCCCACUUCCCAGAUAAAAUGCUCACUUGAAUUAAUCUUCUUUAAAAAGAGAAGAAACGUAAAUAUUCUGGUGCUCAAGCUUAACCAAUUCCUAUUGAUUGCUGGACUGUUACAUACCUGCAUAUUCUACCACUGAUGAUUAAAGCAUAAAAUGUAAGAAGAGCCUGUAUCGGAUGCACUGUAUCAGAGCCACUGGAGCAACCCUCAUGCCAGCAUAUGCUGAAGAGCAGUCUUUGUUUUCUUAGAAAGGCCCCUCUACAUUCAUGCCAUCCUUUAUAAAUUGGCCACCUCACGAAAGGUGCUAUGACGAAGGUCUGUGGGUCUUCUCGGGCAUUUUGUACAUCUACAGCACUUCCUGCUCUCCCCACUGUCUGCAAGAGUGCAGUGCUGCCUAAUGGCGUGCAAAGCACAGCCUGGAGAGACAACCUGGACACCUCGCAUUAUUGGGUCUGACAGAUCUGGACGGCUCUUGGAAUCUCACAUAACAUUUAAUGGGAAACUCAGCUCUCCAGAGAGCAAGGCUUCUGGUAGCAGUGCCGUUCCCUAGAGCCGUAACUCUGAGUUCUGAAUAGGAUGCCUUCUUCUCUUCAGCAGAUUUCUCCACUCUUGCACUAUUUUGAAAUCUCACAUAGGACAGUUCUUGUGGUCGGGGAUUGUCCUGUGCAUCUGGCAUUCUGGCAGCACAUCUACUCACUGGAUCCUGAUAGGACUCCACUGUUAUCUGUAAUAACCCAAACUGUGUCCAAACACUGCCAAAGGCCCCUGGGGGGCUGGGGGUGGUGGUAAAAAUCACCCUGUGCUUAAGAACCACUGAGCUCCUCUAAGGCAGCUCAGGCAAGGUAAUCGUAUCAAGUUCUCAGAAGUGACUUGAUUUUAAUCAAAUGUGCAGAGGGGCACACAGAGCUUCCUUAUGGAUAGAAUUUGGAGAGAUACCCAUCACCCCGGCAAGGCCAGAGGCUUCAGCAAAGAAGCUGGGAAGCCGGGCCUACUGAGAACGUGAUGUGCACAACGUGGAUCAGUUCCCGCACGUAACAAUAGGGACCCCGAGUACAAUCAACAGCACUUCCGCCCUGACGUCACGUCCCGGACCCCGUGAGGUUCCUGGACAUGUCAUGUCUGACUCAAAGAUGACCAAAGGGAUGGAAAUGACUUCACUCAAGAUUCCUGCCAACAGCCAGGCGGGAACCGGUGAGCUGGCUAGGAACUGGCAUGUCACCAUUUCACGACCUACACAAUGAUAGGAGGGAAUUCCAUCGCGGUUAAAACCAGUGGCUUGAAAGUCUGAAAAUUCAAUGUUCAAACCCUCAGUCAGUUCCUUCCCAGCUAUGCGGCCUGGCAUCAGUCCAUUAACUUGUCUCAUGGUGCUGAAUUCAGCAAAUAGAGGAGCAACCCAGACAAUAGGGAAAGUUCUGGAAAGAGGAGUCCUGGCGUUUAAAACCAUCCGUGACAAGAAUCCCACAUGCAAGAAAACAACAAGAAGCAAAGAAGAUGGUGUGGUAACUGAGACGUUCCGGAUGCUUUUAUUGAUAUACAUUAAACAAAAAUGGAAACGGACCCUCAGAGCACAACUUCCCACAUUUGUGGGGCCUGAAGAUCCCAGCAAGGAGAAGGCAGAAAAUCAGGUCCUCCACUGAUCCUGGCUCUCAGUGGACUUAUCGCUGGGCUCGAAUGCAAGGGGGACAGAAACACAGAUGCUGACAGGUUUUUAAAGUUUCUAUCCCAUCAACUAGGAAGUGCACACAUACACACAAAUGAGACAGUCGUACCCUUAAAAUAAAGAUAGGGCUGCUAGUUAAUAUUUAUUGAACAAACAUUACCAGCCUCCACUCAGCGGAAUAUCCUCAAAGCAAUUUUCUAUUUUUAUGUUGGUGGUGGGGCUUCCAGGAAAAAGAAGGACCAGUUCCUUAGUUUUCUUCACUUACUACUAAGUUCUGCCUUCGUCCAUUAGAACGAAUAGCUCUGGCUUAUUCACUGCUGGAUUCUUAGCGCCUAGAAGAGUGGCUCGCAGGAGGUACUCUGAAAGUGUUUGUUGAAUGCCUGAAUGCCUUUUAUUUUUAAAGGAAUGGUGUAGGGGUUUUUACCUCGCCAUCCCAUCCCCCAUAAAAUAAAUCUCCCUGAGCUGCCUUUGCUAAUCUCCGGGAUUCCCUCCCAGCCAAUUAUGCUCGGACACAACCUCCGCCUCCCACUCCACAUUCCAAAGUGUUCAUUCCUUCCAGUCCCAGAAAGGCAACUCCAUGCCACCGGUCGGGGAGAGGUCACACUCCUCCUCAGAGUCUAAAACUUAUUUGACCCUGGCAUUUCCCAUCUUUGGGCUUUUCAAACCCAUAAAAAUAGAAAUCUGUCAAGCUACCAUAAGACAGCUAUCCGAAGGAGGCAGCGACAGUCUCUCCUAGGCAUAAAAUCACUGUAAAUAUUGCAAAACCUGCUAAGUUUUGCCUGCAGUUCUGCAGAAACGUAGGCAAGUGUUUUGAUUUCCCUGGACACACUGGAGAGGAAUGACUUAUGGAGUCCUGAUCCACACUGAACCCAGAGAAACACUAUAGUUUCAGGUCAUUCUGCUCUGAUUGUUAAAAGUGACCUUAUUUUUACAUUCUAUAAAGAUAGAACCAAAUAAGUGGUUCUACUUCAUUGUUUAAGAGAAACACAUGCACUUAACCGUGUUUAUUUUUCAUAGUCAAAAUCUUCAUGUCAUGCCUCUACUCUGGCCAAAAUUGUAUCUUUAACCUGAGAGGGAUAUUUUCCCAUUCCAUAAACUUACACAGGUGCUGGAAGUUUUCUUAACGGUUAGUCAUGGCAACUGGCCUCCUGCAGUGGGAAGUUUGGACUUUCUGUUGUCAGACUUAAACACAGAAUCAAAACUAGCUCAGUACUGUGGACACUGGACGAUGUUGGCCUUUCAGAGAACCUUUUAUUAGAUAUAGAAAGAAGCCUCAAUGUCCACUCUGACAGAGGCUGUCUCUGUCUACGACAGGAUAGUUCAGUCGGCCCACUGGCACGAUUCCUUCUCCCAGAGUGGGCAGCACGGUCACACGGGCCCUCACAGCCCUCCCCGUGGAAAGGCGGAAGGUCGCGGUGGUGUGCAUUUACUUGGUGUGGUACAUGGCAAACACUCUGUAGAAGUGAGCUGUUGGUAUCAUCAUUUGCUUUGGAAUGUUAUCUUUGUAUCUCUUCAGGAAAAAAAACUGCACUCCUGAAGGAAUUCCCUCAUUUUGGUUCUUUCACCCACAAAUACCACAAUAAGUUACAGGGCGGAAUGGAAACUCAGGGGAAUAAGGCUUCGAUAGGUCUUUGGGGUGAUUUUCAUGACUUUCACUUCUUGCAAAGGGCAGCCUGUUUUGAAACUGUGGAGGUUACUGGCAUGGUGCUUUAUUUUUCUUUAAUAAGCAAUGUUUCCUGAAAUGUAUUUCAAGUAAACAACAAACUGAUAAAUGUAAACGCUUUGCAGUUAUCUGAACACCAAGAAAAGGUGCAAUAAAGUUUAUGCACAUUAA